rnacentral:tRNA from 1 species
GCUCCCAUAGUUCAACGGAUAGAAUGCGAGCUUGCGGAGCUCGUGAUGUAGGUUCGAUUCCUGCUGGGAGCA